rnacentral:rRNA from 1 species
GAGUUUGAUCGUGGCUCAGAUUGAACGCUGGCGGCAUGCCUUACACAUGCAAGUCGAACGGCAGCACGGGAGCUUGCUCCUGGUGGCGAGUGGCGAACGGGUGAGUAAUGCAUCGGAACGUAUCCUGGAGUGGGGGAUAACGUAGCGAAAGUUACGCUAAUACCGCAUAUUCUGUGAGCAGGAAAGCGGGGGACCUUCGGGCCUCGCGCUCUUGGAGCGGCCGAUGUCGGAUUAGCUAGUUGGUGAGGUAAAGGCUCACCAAGGCGACGAUCCGUAGCAGGUCUGAGAGGAUGAUCUGCCACACUGGAACUGAGACACGGUCCAGACUCCUACGGGAGGCAGCAGUGGGAAUUUUGGACAAUGGGGGCAACCCUGAUCCAGCCAUGCCGCGU